rnacentral:lncRNA from 1 species
GGAGAACCCACUAGAAGGGAGAUUAUUAAAGCACUUUGUGGCUCAGUUUUUAGUAUGACUUGCCAAUUUGUAUUGGGUUUUGGCUGUGGAAAUACUUUGGUAUGGCUGGUGAUCAUAUUAACUGUUAUUUUCGGGAUGCUUGGAACGUUUAAAGCGACUCAAGCAAACGAUAUUUUUCAAAGUUGCCAAAAUGAGGAUAAAAAAGAAGAAACAAAGUCCCAAGAAGAAAAAUCGGAAGAAGUUUUAGAAAAUGUUGAAGUACAAUAGAUCCAUUCAUGACUUCGAUUAACAUAUGAUGGAGUUAGAUUGAAUAAUAAUUUUUGUACAUAAACCAUUGAAAUAACAUAUUUUUUUAUAUACUGUCAUAUAUAAUUAUAGGCUAUAUUAUCAUAUGAUAAAAUCACGACUUUUUUAAUUUGUUAAUAUUAAAUUUUGAUUUUUCUAUUUUAGAAAUUAUUCGGAAAUUUUAUAAAAUAUGUCGUCAAAAGUAUAGUUAUAUCUUUAUUUAGAAAAUAUUACUUUCAUAUUUAGAAUCCGGUAAAUUUAAGUAAUAAGUCAAAACUCA